GACGAACGCUGGCGGCGUGCCUAACACAUGCAAGUCGAGCGGAGAUAGACUGAUGGUAACUGAAGCUUAUCUUAGCGGCGGACGGGUGAGUAACACGUGGGCAACCUGCCUUGGAGUGGGGGAUAACACCGGGAAAUCGGUGCUAAUACCGCAUAACAUACACAAACUGCAUGGUAAGUGUAUCAAAGGAGUAAUCCGCUUUAAGAUGGGCCCGCGGCUGAUUAGCUAGUUGGUAAGGUAACGGCUUACCAAGGCGACGAUCAGUAGCCGACCUGAGAGGGUGACCGGCCACACUGGAACUGAGACACGGUCCAGACUCCUACGGGAGGCAGCAGUGGGGAAUAUUGCGCAAUGGGGGGAACCCUGACGCAGCAACGCCGCGUGGAGGAAGAAGGUCUUCGGAUUGUAAACUCCUGUCUUCUGGGACGAAGUAUGACGGUACCAGAGGAGGAAGCCACGGCUAACUACGUGCCAGCAGCCGGGUAAACAUACUCGUA
rnacentral:rRNA from 1 species